rnacentral:rRNA from 1 species
UGCCAGCCGCCGCGGUAAUACGGAGGGUGCAAGCGUUACUCGGAAUCACUGGGCGUAAAGGGCGCGUAGGCGGAUUGUCAAGUCUUUUGUGAAAUCUAACGGCUUAACCGUUAAACUGCUUAAGAAACUGAUAAUCUAGAGUAGGGGAGAGGCGGUCGGAACGAUAGGUGGAGCGGUGAAAUGCGUAGAUAUCUAUCGGAACGCCAAAGGUGAAGACAGGCCGCUGGGCUCGUCCUGACGCUGAGGUGCGAAAGCGUGGGGUGCAAACAGGAUUAGAUA